GAUGGGCGCUGAUGAGUAAGCAUUUCCUUUAUGAAAAAGUCUUCGCUGAUUGGAAUUAUCAUGCCCUCAAAUACGGUGAAAUUGUUAAGAACACGCCGCUACGGUUAAGCCAUUAUGUUUCGUUUACGGUGAAUGCUUGUAACCUUUGAGCAUAUUUUACAUUUAUCUGAACAGCAGGGCAAAAAAAUAAAAAAUAUCUUGAUGUUGAGAGGGGCACAUAUAAUAAGUUGCAGAGGGGCACCUGAUACUACCUUCUCUACUAUGUCGCCCAGACACAAUCCCAUUAACGUUCACUCAUCUCCAUCUUUCUACACAACCACACUGCUACAAGAAAGCCAUUCCAUUUUUUUUACAGCGAACACACAUGGUGAUGACAGAGGAAAGAAAACUUUAGACAUCGUGGGAGGCACUAGCUGAUUAUCAAGGAGACGUGAAGUUAAGGGCUACGUUUGUGCUAGAUUACAAUAAAUUUUAAUAAUCCCAACGCUACCCAAUGGAGUUUUGCUAAAAAGCUAGCCCACCGGAAAUCUAA